rnacentral:rRNA from 1 species
AUGGCAUCUGGUGGCGCUGGAAGAAAACAUCAGCGGGGUUGCGAAGAGGCAAGGUGGAGGAGGAGCUGGCGGCGCUGCAGGCUCGCGGCGAGGAAGGAGGCACAGGCGUGCGGGCAUGAGCUCGGGGCAGUGGCACCAUGGCAUGGCCCAAGGUCGCGAAGAAUGCGGGGACGUGGGGGGAGGCGAGAUGGCGCGGCAGUGGCCUGGCUACCAUCGAGGAGACGGGCGGCAGCUUCAAUGGCCGGCCGGCGAGGCCAUGGCCUUGGCGCAGAGGAGCCAUCCCGGGGGAAGAAGAAGGAGCGGAGGACGACGGGGUUUGGAGGAGGAUGA